UUUUUUUUUUUCUUUUUAAAUAUCUUGAAAUAUAGCAUUAGAAGCCAUCACUUUGUAGAAGGAAGAAAACGAAUAGUUCACGUUCUUAAUCCUUCCAAAUACCUGGUGGCAUUCAUUUCAGGCACCUGAAAGAUGAAAAGCAGUGCAACUUUCAAUAAUUUAAUGACUACUCUCAGUAUGAGAGACUUUACAUUGCAUCUACCAACUUGAAAAUUAAAUUGAUAACUGAAAUAAAACAAAGCUUUUAGAGAAAACACAUUUAUAACCUAAUCACAGAAAAGGUUCUCUUUAGAAAAUAGCUGUUUCUAGAACUGCACGAAAGGCUUCCCACCUUUAAAUGAACACAGCUUCCACUGAUGCCAACGGAAACGUGUGUUAAGGGGAGAUGACUGGCUCUUCUUAAAACAGGGAAGAUUUAUCCUUCUUUAGAAGGUGAUGUACUUUGGUAACCUGAACAUUCAAUUACAGGAUGAUUUUUUUAGGUUGUUUAAUUGGAUUAUGAAGUCUGGAUAUAGUUAGACCAGCAUUUGAGAAAACAAGGAUAAUUUAAUAAGAGUCAUGACAUUAGCCCCUCAAACCAUCAAGCAGCGAAUUUUAUCAAUAAAUCAUCACAACGGAACCCAGGGUCUUAAGCUUAAUCAGCAAAAUUAGUCAAUUUAAAAGAGAAAGGCAAUAACCAAAGAAUUAGAUUUUAUAAACCAGGCACUUCAAACUGAAAUUUAAAAUUUUUAAGUUAAAAAAAUUUUUAGAAAAAAUUUUUUGCUGUCAGUCAAUGGUCUCAACUUUUAAAUUCUUUGUAAACUAUAAUGUACUUAGGAACCUUGGUAUUAGUUGUAACUGACAUGGGGCCUGCACAGAGGAAGCUUAAAGUAGCAUGAGCACUUUAAGGCAGUUUCAUAUUUUGAUACCGCCAAAUUGAGAUUCCAGUAACAUCGCCUGACAUCUCUGCAGAGACUAUAUGUAAAGACCUGGAACUAUUUUUUUCUAUCAUAAAAAUAUAAUCACUACAAUGUAGUAGAAAUAUCUAAAUGUAUUAGAAUUUAGCAUGAGGUAAAAAAAAGUAUAGCUAUGAUGUCACUAAGCGUCUACGUUUCAUAAUCUGAUAUAAGCUUAAUUCUCCCAUUAAUAAUCAACACAUUAGUAAUCUAAAAACAAAAUAUCCACAGAGUGUUCCUUAGUUGAACCUGGAAAUUGGUUCAAUUCUACUUCAUUGUUUAAUCUGAACUAUGAUUGCUUUUGGUAAAUUCGUCUUGCUGUGGACUUUCCAAGUAAAAAUACCCUAUCUCACCACAUUUUGUCAAGCAAAAGGACACUAAAAAAGUGGGUAUAAGGCAAAAUAAAAUAUAAAUUUUGACCAUUUUAGCUUAAAGCUAAAGGAGUAUGCUUAGCUAUAAAUAUUCCUCAUAGAUGCAUUUACUAUAAUAGCACUCCCCAAUUUUGUUCCACUGCUUUAGAAAAGAAAAUCUAGUUUCUAUACAUUCUUCUCUGUUACUUUUAAAAUCUGAAUAUAUUAUAAAUAAAGUAUUUUAUGUCAAUAACUUAGAGUGAAAAUCACAUUUUUUACCUUUUAGCAACUUUGGGUCACUUGCAAACGCAAACUUUACUAGUCCCCCCCCACCCUCCCGUUAGUACCUAGAAAACUAUUCUCCCUCACUUGGAUGUAUAUUUCAGUUAUUAUUUCACAUUUUGCAGAUGAGUGAAAACAGAGUCAGUGCCACAUGAAAGUUUCUAAUUCUCUUCGUCAUCAAAUCUCAAACUCCUUUCAUUUAAGGUAUUAAAAGUUUAGGACUGCUCAUUCAUCAAGCAAUAACAAUAAUUCUCUCCAUUGUCAUUACCUUAUACAGUAAUGUAUUUUUCAGGGACUACAAAGCUAAGAGACUAAGACUGAUCUGAGAAUAUUCAAAAUAGAAGCCACUAAAUAAGAUAACUGGCCUCUAUUUAGAUUGAUUACAAAAAUAAAAUAGUGAGUGAUCAAAUAAAAGACUGAAAGAGUUAAAUACAACUUCUAAAGUUUCCCAGGGAAUCAUUUACACAAUGGGAGAGUCUGGCUCAGUAGUUAGAAGGUAACAAGAGUUACCAAUGAUACUGCAUUAAACAUGCUGACCAGUCCAUUCCAUCUGAUUUAAUACUUUAACAAAACACAAGUUUUUCUGUUUUUUAAAACAAAGGGCAUGUGUCAUACAUGGAACCUAAUUACCUAACCCUGAAUGGUUGUUGAAACCCUGAAUGGUUGUUGAAAGGUUAAAAUAUAAGAUGGAAUGAGGCUAUUUAAACAUCUUAGCACACUUUGUCUCACUGAAAUUGGGAAUUUUAAAAACCAGCAAUGUACUAACUGUGCAACUAAUUACGUGAAAUACAAAUUAGGAAGAGGACUUGAAAUUCCAAAUAAGGAAAAAAAAAAAAAAAAGAAAUUCCAAAUAAGAGAAAUCCAUUUAAAUAUAUUUGUUGAUAAUCCAUCUGUAUCCGUUUAUAAAAAUUGAAAUAAAAAACCCUCCAAUAAAAAAAAAAACCCUCCAAUAUUAAUCCCUUUAUUUCUGAAUUACUACAAUCACUGUCAUGCUAGACGCUUCCACUGUUUAAAUACACCCCUAAAAAUGGAAAGAAUGACUGCAGGAGCUGUAACAUCCAGUAUCACAGCGAACAUCUUUAACUCCUUCCUAAAGUGUAUCACACCUAUUUGGUAGCAUAGAAAUGGAAAAUAAAUGCUUUUCUUGUAUAAAAUACUUGGUUUUAAAAAGGCAAUUUAUCCCACUUCCUAACAUUUAAGCCCUUUAAAAGAUCACAAAGUUACCCUCUUGGGCCUUAAGAAAGACAGAUAUACUUAAGUACUCUAAACUGGAAUUUUUUCACUGGAAAUUUCUAAUGGAUGGGAUAAUAUAACUGGCUUUCAUCUCUUUGCAAUGUAUCCAUAUACUCUGGUAAAACUUACACAUUCAGGUAUCCCUCUCUUUGAUGAAUUUUAAAUAAACUAAAUAACACUAUAUACAAUUAUCCCUUGCAGCUUAAUUUCCUAAAACAGAUCCAAAAGCUAAAAACCCUUAAAUUGUAUAUCAAGAAAAAUGUAGAGCCUCAAUGAAAGGAAAAAAAGCCUUUGCUAUAUCAUUUUAUGUUAAAGAUUUGUUAGCUACCUGUAUUGCUAAGAUUUGGGGAAUAAACACAUCAAGUAUACAUUUUCAUAGUAUAUUCAAAUUUUUCA
rnacentral:lncRNA from 1 species